UACCUUUUUUUUUACAGUUCUGCAUAUAUAAUAUGACAAACCUAGGAGACUUUGCUGUAAGAGAAUUAAUCAUGUUUUUGUUUUCUUUUCUCAGGUCCGGUCAGUACCCACCACCCUUCCCUGUUCACCCACAGUUUAUACUUUUUCUUAGAAAACCAACGGCUCUUUUAAGAGCCACUUCAAUAGACCCUUUUACAGCCCACGUGAUCAAAUAGCCUGCGUGUGCAUUUUGGCAACGGAAGUGAUGUUAUUUCCCAGUGGUUCUAACGUGUAAGCAACUCAGAAAGUUUAUUAAAACGAUUUCCCCACAUCAAAACGUCUGGUUGUAGCAUUUGGUUGCACUAAUAUAAUAUAUGUUUAGUAUUUGGCCAUCUUCUAACGUCUUCUAUCCACUCCACUAUAGUACACGGAUCUGGUAACUGUGUAGAAGAUAAGUCAACUUUUUAAACUAACUUUCUCUGUCUGUGUUGCUUCACUGCUGAUUCUUGCCGUGCUUCCGUUGCCAAACUGCGUGCGCAUACGUUGCCACGUCAUCAUUGUGUACAAACAGUAAAAGGGUCACUCACUCACUCACUCACUCUUUCGCAAGCUUCUCUGUUUUCAAGUAUUGUAAUUUUAUUCAUUUUACUCUCUCUCUCACUGUCCAAAACACUUAGCCUAUGCCUCUUUGUCUGACCAAUGUAGUAUUGUUGAAAUGGCUGCUGAGCAAGACAGAGGGAGAGCAGAGGGUGUUAUUUUCAUAGCAGACAUGCUUCUUGCUCAAAUCAAGGCAGAGGAACCCAAGGGCAAAGCAACAGCCAUUAAAGGGAGUACAUUUAAUGUCCGAUAGGUGGAGAAAAUGCUGAAGGACGUCCACUACUAAAAAGCAGCAGAAGUGAAGAGAUACAAAGCUUCAGCUACAGUCUGUUUAUUGCCUACAGUGAGACCUCCACAUUUCUGCACUUGUGAUCAUGCAAACAUCCAGUGUAGAGCACUUCACCUGCCCGGCAUGUACACCCAACAAUGCUCACUCUUUGUGCAGAUGGCAACAGAAAAACCUACAGAUUCCGUCAGUCAAAAGAAAGGAGCUUCAAGCAGCCACAAACGGAGAGUUCUUUUGAACAGAUAUUGCUUGCAAGUAUUGGCCAUACCUUGAGAAGGCGUCAGUCUCCAUGUUGGAACUCAGACCUUUACUGCAGAUGAGACCUUUCCUUUCUGUCAUGCAUGCCAAGGCUCAUUCAACCAAGUGUCAGGUGUCACACAUUUGUUAGAUAAUCUGGCAAAAAUCAGGAAGGUGCUGGUACAACUGCAGUUGAGGAGGUCAAAAUGGUCAACAGCUACCUGUCUCGUUGUGGCCUCACAACCAAGUAUCUAAUUGAUGCCUAUUUAUAAUAUUUUAGGAAACCUGUCUUUAUUUUUUCACUUUUUUAUUCUUUCUGUCUAGUACUUUGAGAUUGCAUAAGAGUAAGCUGUAACUGUUCAAAGUACAUAAAAAAUUGGCAUGUAGUUCUCUCUUAAAUUUUAAACUCAAUUGUCAGUUUCUGGAUUAAUUGAAAUACGACAAGCAUUAAUGGGACCUUUCUUCCUUCAUCACAUACAUGUCUUGUUAAUAGCCAGGAAUGACAUGCUAACUGUCCAUGCUAUUGGGUGGAACCAACGGAAGCAAGAAGGCCUUCAGCAUUAUCCAGCAGAUACAUCAAGGCUGAGUCUCAGAGACGGGAAGAUUUGAGCAGUGAACUGGGGUGUCCUGAGAACAUUGUGAAUCAGUGGGUACAAGGUGUCAAACAAAAGGCUACUGAUGGAUUUGGUAGGUACCAGAUGUGAUGACCUACACAACCUUCAGAAAUGAAUUGAACAAAUGUUUCUUAGUCUUCAUCGAAAAGCCAGCCUUUAUAAUCACACUGAAUCCAGCAACACCCUCACCAAGAAGAUUUCAAAAGUGCGCCUUCAAGAAGCAAAGAUCAUUGUGAUGAGGGAGAUGAGACACCACUGCACCGCACCUAUCUCAGAAGCCUGGCUAGGAACAUCAGGAAAAUGAUAUCAGAAAUGUCUUCAGGCAAAAACAGUGGCAGUUUAAGUGAAGAGUGUCAUCGCUGGCUACUGUGUCGUCUUCAGAAAAGGCUUGCAGAUGUAGAGAAGAAGUUCCAAGUUUGCUCAAGUUACAGCCAGGCUUUAGGACAGUGUUCUUCACUCCCAACCCUGGAGCGCCGGUGUCCUGCAGACUUUAGGUCCAACCUUAAUCAAACACAUCUGAAAGCUAAUCAAUGUCUUCAUGAUCUCUAGAAAAUCACAGGUAUGCGUGUUUGAUUAAGGUUGGAGCUAAGCUCUGCAGGACACCAGCUCUCCAGGAUAGAGAGUGAAGAACACUGCUUUAGGACCAAAUGCUGUUUCUCUGCUGGAGGAUGAGCCUUAGGAGAUACUGGAGGACCACGAAGAGCUGGAUUAUGAGAGUUCAGAUGACAUUUUGGAUUUGGAACUCUGAACUGGUGUAUGCAUUUAGACUGUGUGUCACACUGAACUGCAGGUGUGUUUCCUGGAAAACAAAACUAUUUGGAAAUGUAAUGGAUGUCUGAUACAGUGCUUUUAUUUUAGACAACCGUUUCCUGCAGUCUGUAAGCAACAUUAGCCUCAUAGAUUGAUGGGAAACUACUGUUAAAUAAGUUUUUGUAUGAUAAUCCAUAUCUCCGUUUACAAGCAGCAGGUUAGCUAUUAGGUUUCCCCUCCACCUCCGAUGUUUCACAGACUACUCCUACAGUCAACUGUGUUGCUACAACUUGCAAAUGCCACAAUCCUCUUGCAGUGGUUACUUCACCAAACUGUGCCCAUAUCAUCUUGUCAACAUAAUGACAUUUACUGUAGAAAAAUGUGCAAAUCUAUUUUGCCUGUGUUACAUAUGUUACUAUUAUUGUUAUAUAGUUUUAUACUGUAUAAAGUUUUUUUCACAGUGAUUGUGGAUACGUUUGGAGUGAACUAACUGUAUGUCAUUAGAUGAAAUACUUUACAUAAAUGACUGAUCAAUAGCCUACCCAUAUUUGAUGCAUGAGUUAAUACUGUUGUUACCUUUUCAAUGAAAGGAAAUGUUUUACAAUGCCAUUUUCUUGAGGUAAUUAUUAAACUGUUUCAUAUAUGUACCUGCAAAAUUGUUUGCUAAAGCGUUGUUUACUUUUCCCUGUUUUGAAAAUGAGAUGUAAAACUGCUUUAUUUAUUUAUGCCUUAAAAAUAUAUGAUAGUUUAAUACAGGGUAAAUAUUAAUAAAAACGUGUUAAUUAGUUAGUA